ACUAAAAAAGUAGGAAACGAUUAGGACUUUUAAAAGCACCACGUAAAACAGUAUCCAUGGCAAUGACAUUAGCAUUAGCACCAUCAGAAAUGUUUGCAGAAGGCUUAAACCUCAUGCAGACAAUUGCGGAUGAAGAAUCUGAUAAUUACCCUAAUAUAUUGCUCUUUAUGAAAUAUAUGAGAAACACAUGGCUUCCAAUAUCGAAAAAAACAAGUGUAUAUGGAUGCCCAAUUAGAACCAAUAAUUUUGUAGAAUCAUUUCAUAAUAUCAUGGCGCAAAAGAUGCAAACAGUUCAUCCGAAUCUUUGGAUAUUUUUAGAUAAUAUUUCUAAAUUAAUAACAGAUCAAGAAAUCAACUACAAUCGUUUAUUGAACGGUCUACAAAUAACAAGAAAUCGUUGUCGAUUCAAUAAAUAUAAAAAUACAAGGAUACAAGAAGCACAAAAUUUGUUGUGUGUCGAAAGACUACAACGAGAUAUUUUAAUUUAGCAACGCUAUUGUUUAAAGAAUUAGCAAAUAAAACUUUCAAUUCGAAACACGUUCUUAGAAAGACGAAUAAGGUAUUUAAAAUUAACAAAGAUAUUGACCAAUGCUAUUCUUUAAACAAGUAAUUAAACGCUGAGGCGUUAACCGUAUGAGGAAACGAUCGGCGGAUUGCCUCACAAACAAGCGAAGCAGAUCAGCAUUCAAGGAAAAGCAGACGUUGCUAACCUAGAUACUGAUCUGUAUAAAAGAAGGUGACUCGAUUGUCACCACGGGUUUUUUAAGUUUGAUCUAAGCACGAGCUGCACGUCGGUAUCGCGAACUCCGAGUUUGUAUCUUACGCGAUCGUAACGACUGUGAGGAAGCCGUUAAAUAAAGUGUACGCGAGUGCUAAGUGAAUAAAGAUAUUUUA